rnacentral:rRNA from 1 species
ACGUAGGCAGCAAGCGUUGUUCGGAGUUACUGGGCGUAAAGAGAGCGUAGGCGGCUCGCUAAGUUUGGUGUGAAAUCUCCCGGCUUAACUGGGAGGGUGCGCCGAGAACUGGCGGGCUAGAGUGUGGGAGAGGGAAGCGGAAUUCCUGGUGUAGCGGUGAAAUGCGUAGAUAUCAGGAGGAACACCCGCGGUGAAGACGGCUUCCUGGACCACUACUGACGCUGAGGCUCGAAAGCGUGGGGAGCAAAAAG